rnacentral:misc_RNA from 1 species
AAGGAUUUCCAAAAUUUAACCAAUAAUAAGGUUGUUCAUGCUGAUAGCCAUCCAAUAUGACCUGACGGUACAACCCAUACUGGUAUCGCAGCCCAUAACCCAAUGCAGGAUAGUCCAAUGUUGCUAAGGAAUCAAUUUGACAAGCUGAAAGACGAGCAAGGCCACCAUUACCAAGAGCAGCAUCCCCUUCCUGCUCUGCCAAAACUUCAAACUCAAAACCAAGCUGAGAUAAUGCAUCAGCAUAUUGGUCCCGAAUGCCAAGAUUGAUGACACUAUUUGACAAGAAGCGACCCAUAAGAUACUCGAGUGAGAGGAAGUAUAUGCGCUUUGGAUCUUUUCUCUUGAAGUGUACUUGGGUAUCAUGCCAACGUUCAAUCAACCGAUCUCUCACGCUAUGUGCUAAAGCCUGAUAAGCUUCAAAAUCGUCAAAACUAAAGCGUGACCUGGCCACCGUAUACUCAACGUGACGUAAAAUAUCAUUUUGUAGAGUAAUCGGAUCGUUCUUCAAAAACUGACCCAUUAAGCCGAACAUUCUAUCCACUUUUGCUCUCUCCUCACCUAGCCCCAAUCCAGCCCUCCUCACCGCUACACCUCUUCCAGUGGACCCCAU